AACGAACGCUGGCGGCAGGCCUAACACAUGCAAGUCGAACGCCCUAGCAAUAGGGAGUGGCAGACGGGUGAGUAACACGUGGGAACCUUCCCUAUAGUACGGAAUAGCUCAGGGAAACUUGAAGUAAUACCGUAUACGCCCGAGAGGGGAAAGAUUUAUUGCUAUAGGAUGGGCCCGCGUCGGAUUAGCUAGUUGGUGAGGUAAUGGCUCACCAAGGCGACGAUCCGUAGCUGGUUUGAGAGAACGACCAGCCACACUGGGACUGAGACACGGCCCAGACUCCUACGGGAGGCAGCAGUGGGGAAUAUUGGACAAUGGGCGCAAGCCUGAUCCAGCCAUGCCGCGUGAGUGAUGAAGGCCUUAGGGUGUAAAGCUCUUUUAGCAGGGAAGAUAAAUGACUGUACCUGCAGAAUAAGCUCCGGCUAACUUCGUGCCAGCAGCCG
rnacentral:rRNA from 1 species